rnacentral:rRNA from 1 species
GGAGUUAGCCGGUGCUUCUUCUGUGAGUGAUGUCCUUCCUGCCGGCUAUUAACCCGCAGGCCUUCUUCCUCACUGAAAGUGCUUUACAACCCGAAGGCCUUCUUCACACACGCGGCAUGGCUGGAUCAGGGUUGCCCCCAUUGUCCAAUAUUCCCCACUGCUGCCUCCCGUAGGAGUCUGGGCCGUGUCUCAGUCCCAGUGUGGCUGAUCAUCCUCUCAGACCAGCUACGGAUCGUCGCCUUGGUGAGCCGUUACCUCACCAACCAGCUAAUCCGACAUAGGCUCAUCCGAUAGCGCGAGGCCCGAAGGUCCCCCGCUUUCCCCCGUAGGGCGUAUGCGGUAUUAGCCUGGGUUUCCCCAGGUUAUCCCCCACUACCGGGCAGAUUCCUAUGCAUUACUCACCCGUCCGCCGCUCGCCACCAGGGAGCAAGCUCCCCGUGCUGCCGCUCGACUUGCAUGUGUUAGGCCUGCCGCCAGCGUUCAUCUGAACCAAGAUCAAAUUCUGA